ensembl:piRNA 21ur-7784 ncRNA
UUUGAAAUCACAUUGAUAACA